ensembl:lncRNA novel transcript
GUGAUAUUCCCUCUAAAGAUGCAUCACCUGAAUCUGACUAUGAAGAAACAUCAGAAAAACUCAAAUUGAGGAACACUCUGCAAGUUCCCUCAAAACCCUGGCAAUGGCAACUAAAAAGAUGGCUUUUGUGAGAAGAGCGAUUGGUGUCCACACCUGCUGGUGCUGAGCACAAGACAAUGCACAUGUGUUCUCUUGAAGGAAGAAACUUUAGAAACGUCAUCUUCAAGGUGUCAAUGACUUGUCUACUAUAGCUGCUGCCUCAGCGUCCACUUUUAGACCCGGCAUCAGCUGUGUGAAACCCAGUCGCACCCUGCCACCUUUGGUCUAGGUGUGACUUCUCUUCCUUAGAGGGGCAUGAUAGAGCUCGUGUGUUUCUUUUCUUUUUUUUCUUUUUGUUUUUGAGAUGGAGUCUUGUUCUGUCACCCAGGCUGGAGUGCAGUGGCACCAUCUUGGCUCACUGUAACCUCUGCCUCCCAGUUCAAGCAAUUCUCCUGCCUCAGCCUCCCAAGUAGCUGGGACUACAGGCAUGAACCACCACGCCUAGCUAAUUUUUGUAUUUUUAGCAGAGAUGGGGUUUUACCAUGUUGGCCAGGCUGGUCUCAAACUCCUGACCUCAAGUGAUCCACUUGCCUCAGCCUCCCAAAGUGCUGGGAUUACAGGCAUGAACCACCAUGCCUGGAGGAGCCCAUGUGUUUCUCAUCUCACCAACCCAAAGCCCAACUCACUCCACAGCUGCUGACCAUGAGGAAACCUAAGGUCAACACCGGAGUCAGGCAAAUAAGCCACCCCCCCACCCCCACCCGCAUACACACUUGUUUUAUUUAAACUGGCCAAUCCACAACUGCCAGAGGAAAGCCCGUGGGCCUUCAUGGAGGCCUAGUCUCAAGCCCUCACUCUCCCUUCCCACCUGCCGGUCGAGUGCCCUGCUGUCUCUGGACUUCCCAUCGGCCCUCAGGGACGUGAAGCCAAGAAAUUUUAAAUGGUGCACAUUCAAGACCCAAGAUUACCAGUCUAGCAGCAGCUCUGCCUGAUUCUCUGCGUUUUACACAUUUGACAAUUAUCUCCCUUUAUGGAUUAGAGAAAGCACAUCCUUCUCAGCAAGUGGUUCAGUGAAACUUCCAUUAGUGAAAGAGGCACUUUGUCACAGAAGCAGAAGUGUUCUUGCCAUAGUGGAAAGGAAAAGAUGCAUAACUUCUCAUAUUAAAACAGAGGCUUGCUUUAAAUGGUAAGGAAAGAAGAGGAUGUAGAGAAAUUGGAACCCUUCUGAGCUGUUAGGAACGUAAAAUGGUGCAGCCACUAUGGAAAAGAGUAUGGCAGUCUCUCAAAAAAUAAAAAAUAGAACUACCAUGUGA